rnacentral:rRNA from 1 species
GACGAACGCUGGCGGCGUGCCUAAUACAUGCAAGUUGAGCGAUGAAGAUUGGUGCUUGCCCCAAUUUGAAGAGCAGCGAACGGGUGAGUAACGCGUGGGGAAUCUGCCUUUGAGCGGGGGACAACAUUUGGAAACGAAUGCUAAUACCGCAUAACAACUUUAAACAUAAGUUUUAAGUUUGAAAGAUGCAAUUGCAUCACUCAAAGAUGAUCCCGCGUUGUAUUAGCUAGUUGGUGAGGUAAAGGCUCACCAAGGCGAUGAUACAUAGCCGACCUGAGAGGGUGAUCGGCCACAGUGGGACUGAGACACGGCCCAAACUCCUACGGGAGGCAGCAGUAGGGAAUCUUCGGCAAUGGACGAAAGUCUGACCGAGCAACGCCGCGGGAGUGAAGAAGGUUUUCGGAUCGUAAAACUCUGUUGGUAGAGAAGAACGUUGGUGAGAGUGGAAAGCUCAUAAAGUGACGGUAACUACCCAGAAAGGGACGGCUAACUACGUG